GGGGAACGCGUUUUAAAGGCAAAAUGUCAAAAUGAACUUAAAGAAUACGCGCAGUCAGGACGCGAGAGUGAGCUCUGAUGUGUAUUUGGGACGGUGACAGGUGGGCACGCUCAGUGCUGCUAUUGGGCCAGAACACACUGGAACAAUGUGUUAUAGGGAUUCAUUUGAUGGAGAGAGUCCUGGCAACAGACGCCACUGGGUACACUGGGGAACUGUCUGUCUUCACCCGACAGUGAUGAGUACAUGCGCCGCAUUGUUCAACAGUUAAUGUAUUGUGAUUUUGAGUAAUCUUCAUGUUUGCACUUAUUUCAUAUGCAUCGACUCUCUUUUCGGUUUUAACCAUCUGAGGUGCUUUGAGGUGAGCUCAAUUUUUUAAAUAAAAAAAACAAACAUUUUCAGGCAGUUUAUACAAGUUUACCUUUAUGAUCCCAUUGUGUACUUAAUACUCAAUCAUCUGAAUCCCUACGAAAAGGUUGAGAUAUAUAACAUAAUAUUGACAUAAUUAUGAUAAUGCAAAUACAUUAGAAAAAUGUAUGCUUAUUAAUCGUGCAAAAUACAAACAGGUCAGGACAGUCAAUAGGACAAAGUAAAAAAGAGAGUUUUUAGUCUCCUCUACUUGUAUGCUAAUUCAACUGCACCAUGUUUUAAACCCUUAAUAUUAUAUUUAUCUUAUGAAAUAAAAUACAAAAAAUAACUGUUUAAGUGUUCUCUGCUGCAAUAACUCUCUGCUCACUGGUUCCAUCUUCUGGUCAACCAGGGGAAUUACAUGCCAACCGACAGGUGAAACCUAGUACAUCUGAAGACGGUCGGCCAAUACCACCUCCAUAUUUCACAGAUGAUGCGGAGGUGCUUUUGAGCAUGGGUUGUUCUUUCCUUUCUACACACUUUCAGCUUUUUGUCAUUUCGGUAAAGGUUUAUUUUGGUCUCAUCUGUCCACACAACUUCCAGAGCUCUUCCGGUUCAUAUCAGUCUGCUUUGGUGAAUUCUAAACUGGCCUUUAGAGUCUUCCUGCUGGUGAGAGGUGGUGGAACUCAAAUGGUGACUAACGGUAUUUUCACCCCUGUCCCCUGGAGACUGCUGGUCACUUAUCAUUGUUUUAGGGUUUUUCUUCACAGUUCUUAGGAUUUCUUCAGUCAUCAACUGCAGUUGUUUUCCUUGGCGGACCAAUUUGGUUAAUUAGUGGAUUGAGUAACCAAGGGGGCAAUUAGUUUUUCACACUGGUGAUAUGGGUGUUCGAUAACUUUAAAAUGUUUAAUAACAUUAAUAACUUGAUAACCUUAAUGAACUUUUAUUUUAUUUUUUUUGUUCUGUGUUUAUUCAACUUUCCUUUGUUAGGAAUGGCAUUUUGUCUAAAGAUAUGAAUCUGUUCAAUGUGACAAAUAAGCAAUAAUAUAGGAAAUCAGAAGGAGCAAAUACUUUUUCACAGCACUGUAGGUUUCUAUGUUGAACAGUGGCCCUAGGCUGGCGGUCCUGGAUAUUCAAAGAAAAUCCUUCUCAUGAACAGUUCCUUCUUCUGUUACGACUCUGAGGUGGGGGCUAUAAGGUUGCAGGUUAAAGUCCCGGAGGAACACUUCUAUUGUGCUCUCGAACAAGGCCUCUACCGCCCAAAGGGGGUUUCAUACUCAACUGCCAUGUCAUGAAAAGAUAUCAUUCAGACAUUCAGAUCAAGGGAUAAGAUUUCACAGCGUUGGGACAAGUUAGCAGAUUUUUUUAAACAUUUAGAAAAAAAUACUAAAGAAAAUGAAUUUUUUCCUAUUUCAUUUUAAUAUAAAGGAUAGCAUGCACUGACACACAGUAAAUGUUAGUAAGUCAGGGACAACCGGUAGCUCUGGAAAAAAGACGGUGCAGAUGGAAAAGCAGAGGAUUAUGGGAUACCAAGUCAAUAAGGUUUGAAUUUCCUCUGUGCUCUCAGCACUGCAAUCCUCUGUUUAUCUUCCUCAAACUUUUUCCUAAGCUCAGCAAUGUCUGAAAAGGAGAAUGACAAAGUAUUAAUACCGCAUACACCCUUACAUACCUUCGGCUUACUGAAAAAGUGACAUAUGCAGGUAUAGUAUAUGCAGUAUACAGUAUGCAGUCUGCACCUUAACAUUAAACUUUUUUUUUUUUUUUUCAAUAUUUGUUGCAGGAGAAAAGUUCAUAAAAGUAAAUUAUUUCAUGCCCUUAGUCUCAUUUCUUACAUCAUCUGCAAACUGCAACUGAUGGGGUGUUACUCCACCAUCUAUAUGUCAGUUUCACAUGAAAGUUACAACUAUACUGGUAACUCACGCUCUCUUUGUGUGUUUCGGUGCUGCCAGGUGUAGAAGUUAAGCAGCUCCUUCCUCUUCUUCUUCCUGCUUUCCCUCUGCAGAGCUUUCUGGUUGGCUGCCUCGCUGUGAGGGCGGGCCUUGCUCCCUCGCGCGCCCCUUGUGACCUUCACCCAACCCUCCUCGUCCUCCUCCUGCUGCUUCUCUGCUUCUUUCUUCUUUUGUUCUGACUCCUGGUCCAAAGACAGUGGUCAACACAUUAAACGAGUGAUCAAAAAGCACACUUAAAUCACAGCAUUCGACACUCACUCUUCAAGCCUGUCCUGACAGGCCGCUGUUCUGUGGAGACGACCAGUGGAGCGUCAGCGGGAUGGGACUUGGCAGCUGUCACACCGGAGCCACUUUUGAAGACAAUGUAACCUACUUUAAAUCCCUGAGAGACAGAACAGAGAGGGAGGGUUUGCUCGGUGCACAAAAGAGGAGCACAGACACAGAGCAGGUUUCCCUUAUGGAUGUUUUACCUCUUUCUGUGCUGGUGUGAAAUAUCUUGACAGUUUUGAUUCUGCGGGCUCGGCGGUACCGGGCCGCUCCCUCAGUUCCACAGACUGAAUCGGCCCAAACUGCGAGAACAGGUCCCUCACCACCGCCUGCAAAAGAGAAGACUGGCAGUUAUAAACACAUCACAGCGCUAACCGCCUCCAGCUCAACGCAGGGAAAACCAAGGAGCUGGUGGUGGACUCCCGAAGGUGCAAACACUCUGCUCCUCCCAUACCAGUGAACAUCCAGGGAAUGGACAUUGAGAUGGUGAAAUCUUACAAGUACCUGGGUGUUCACCUGAAUAAUACACUGCACUGGACUGACAAUACAAAUGCACUGUACAAGAAAGGACAGAGCAGACUCUAUCUGCUGAGGAGUCUUUUGGAGUGCAGGGGGCACUCCUGAGGACCUUUUUUGACUUUCUUCCUGCUGAUGUCAGACUUUACAAUCAGCACUGCUCCUAGUAGACCACACACACCACUCAUGUGCAACCCACUCACUUUUUGGUGCAAUCCACUCAUGUGCAAUAUAAAGUGUACCAAA